rnacentral:rRNA from 1 species
GUAGGGUGCGAGCGUUAUCCGGAAUCAUUGGGCGUAAAGAGCUCGUAGGCGGUUCAGCAAGUCGGCUGUGAAAUUCCGAGGCUCAACCUCGGAACUGCAGUCGAUACUGUUGUGACUCGAGUCCGGUAGAGGAGAAUGGAAUUCCCGGUGUAGCGGUGUAAUGCGCAGAUAUCGGGAGGAACACCAGUAGCGAAGGCGGUUCUCUGGGCCGGCACUGACGCUGAGGAGCGAAAGCGUGGGGGUAGCAAACAGGAUUAGAUACCCUGGUAGUCCACGCCCGUAAACGUUGGAUACUAGGUGUGGGGUUCCGACCAACGGUCCCCGUGCCGAAGCUAACGCAUUAGUAUCCCCGCCUGGGGAGUACGGCCGCAAGGCUA